rnacentral:rRNA from 1 species
GGCUUUACAUUCAGCAAAUUCGUAAGCUGCACGUUUAAAACAAUUCGAUGCUUAUAAAAGGUGAAAGGUCUUUACGGGAGAGCAAGCAAGUGGAGUGGGUGAGCUCGAGUGAGAGAGACCAAGGGGAGAGUGGGUGGGGGAAGAGCUAGGGGAGGUCUAGGGGCAGCAGCGGCCGGAGAGGAGCAGCAGCAAGCGGCCGGAGAGGAGCGGUGGUGGCGCAUGAGACAAAGGAGGGUGGCGCGUGGGGCAAAGGAGGCCGGCGCGUGUGGCGUGGCAUCCAGUUUUCGAACGAAAAAAUCCGCGGCAGCUGCUCGAAGACCCGCCGCCUCCUACCUAGGCGCACGUGACUUCGACCUAGGCGCGCACAGCUGCGGCAUCGUCGCCUCGUCCCGGUAUCGUUGCGGCAGGAGGAGGUGCUGGUGUGUUGGCGCAGCCGCCUCCUGGGCUUAGGGAUCGGUCGCUCGAGUCCGUCGGUACCUAGGUACCAGCUACGGUACCUUCUCGGUGGUUGUCGUCGUCGAUUCUAUACCUGUACGUUCGGCGACGCGAGGGACUACGUAGUACGCACGACGGGAGGGAUUGGUGGCGAAGAGCCUGAGAUGAAGAAGGAACCAGUGGUACCUUCCACCUCACAACAACUCCAGACCCUCUUGGUAGAAGAUGUCCGCUCUGCUGCUCCGGCAACAGUCACCACUCGACCAUGAUGUCCUCUUCCUUGUACGGGUUCUCUUCUUCCUCGUGCGGGUCCUGUUGUUCUUCCUCGUCCUAUUCCGGGAUUCCUGGACCCUAGCGACGACGACCUGGACCCUGGAUCCUAACGACGACGACCUGGACCCUGGAUCCUAACGACGACGACCUUGACCCUUGACCCUAGCGACGAUGACACACGGAGGAACCGUGGGGACCUAGAUCCUAGCGGCGACCUCUGUUCCUGGACCCUAGCGACAACCUCCGCUCCUGGACCCUCGCGUACCCUGGACCCGCGUACCUCCUCUUCGUCCCCGUCCGCCUCCUCUUCGUCCCCGCCCGCCCGCCUGCUACAGGACCACUUGUCCGCCCGAUACCGGACCGCCUACCUCCUUCUUCUGCUACCCCUAUGGCUAAGUUUGAUCCCCGUUGCUACAUUUAAGGUGGCAAAAGUGAACCAGCCUUGCUUAGGAGGUCGCUGAAUGUAAAGCCUUGCCUCCCUCAUUAAGUAUGACCUCGUCUCGUCGUUUUCACUCCUUGUGUCUAUCACAGAUUUUAAUAUGUUCCUGUUAACAUACAAAUGUUGUAAGUAUGUUUUCUUUGGACUGUGUCAUUGGUCAACAUGAAACUAGUUAACCUUCUUAAC